rnacentral:rRNA from 1 species
GGCCAGACUCCUACGGGAGGCAGCAGUGGGGAAUAUUGCACAAUGGGGGAAACCCUGAUGCAGCGACGCCGCGUGAGUGAAGAAGUAAUUCGUUAUGUAAAGCUCUAUCAGCAGGGAAGAAAAUGACGGUACCUGAGUAAGAAGCCCCGGCUAACUACGUGCCAGCAGCCGCGGUAAUACGUAGGGGGCAAGCGUUAUCCGGAUUUACUGGGUGUAAAGGGAGCGCAGGCGGCGCGUUAAGCCUGGUGUGAAAGCCCGCGGCCCAACCGCGGGACUGCAUUGGGAACUGGCGCGCUGGAGUGCCGGAGGGGUAGGCGGAAUUCCUAGUGUAGCGGUGAAAUGCGUAGAUAUUAGGAGGAGCACCAGUGGCGAAGGCGGCCUGCUGGACGACAACUGACGGUGAGGCGCGAAAGCGUGGGGAGCAAACAGGAUUAGAUACCCCGGUAU